rnacentral:lncRNA from 1 species
UGAAGUGAUGAGUCUCAAACAGGAGAUUAGAGGGCUCAAGCAUGAGAAUAAACAGUUGCACCGGCUCGCACAUGACUAUGCUACAAACAUGAAGAGGAAGCUUGACCAGAUGAAGGAAACUGAUGGUCAGGUUUUACUUGAUCAUCAAAGAUUUGUGGGUUUGUUCCAAAGGCAUUUAUUGCCUUCGUCUUCUGGGGCUGUACCGCGUAAUGAAGCUCCAAAUGAUCAACCUUUGAUGCCUCCUCCUUCUAGGGUUCUGUCCAGUACUGAGGCUCCAAAUGAUCCCCCUCCGGUGCCUUCUCUUUCUGGGGCUCUACCGACUGCUGAGACUUCUCCUAAGCAACCUUUGUGAAGGCUCCCUCUUGUGUGUUUUAUUUGACUCAUGUAUAUGCACAUAUUUGUAGCUUAUCGGGGAUAUCAAUAAAUAAGCUUUCCUUCAUUUCAACGUAUUGUGUUAAAUACACCAAAGCCUUCUUCGCUAAGUUCUUUGAAUUUUCUUUUGUUGAAGCUUGUAUGUUGAAGCUUUCUGAGUGGAGCAUGAAGGUUGGGGUAGUGUUCCCUUAAUUUUCCGAGUGAGGAAAACUUCUCGGUUGGAGACUUGGAAAAUCCAAGUCACUGAGUGGGAUCGGCUAUAUGAAUCUUAGAACGCCAUUGUGCUCAAUCCUGUGUCAUGUCCUUCGUUAGAUCCAAGUACUCUAAGUCUUUUCUUAGAGUCUCUUCCAAAGUUUUCCUAGGUCUUCCUCUACCCCUUCGGCCCUGAACCUCUGUCCCAUAGUCGCAUCUUCUAAUCGGAGCGUCAGUAGGCCUUCUUUGCACAUGUCCAAACCACCGUAACCGAUUUUCUCUCAUCUUUCCUUCAAUUUCGGCUACUCCUACUUUACCCCGGAUAUCCUCAUUCCUAAUCUUAUCCUUUCUCGUGUGCCCACACAUCCAACGAAGCAUCCUCAUCUCCGCUACACCCAUUUUGUGUACGUGUUGAUGUUUCACCGCCCAACAUUCUGUGCCAUACAGCAUCGCCGGCCUUAUUGCCGUCCUAUAAAAUUUUCCCUUGAGCUUCAGUGGCAUACGGCGGUCACAUAACACGCCGGAUGCACUCUUCCAUUUCAUCCAUCCAGCUUGUAUUCUAUGGUUGAGAUCUCCAUCUAAUUCUCCGUUCUUUUGCAAGAUAGAUCCUAGGUAACGAAAACGGUCGCUCUUUGGUAUUUCUUGAUCUCCGAUCCUCACCCCUAACUCGUUUUGGCCUCCAUUUGCACUGAACUUGCACUCCAUAUAUUCUGUCUUUGAUCGGCUUAGGCGAAGACCUUUAGAUUCCAACACUUCUCUCCAAAGGUUAAGCUUUGCAUUUACCCCUUCCUGAGUUUCAUCUAUCAACACUAUAUCGUCUGCGAAAAGCAUACACCAAGGAAUAUCAUCUUGAAUAUGUCCUGUUAACUCAUCCAUUACCAACGCAAAAAGGUAAGGACUUAAGGAUGAGCCUUGAUGUAAUCCUACAGUUAUGGGAAAGCUUUCGGUUUGUCCUUCAUGAGUUCUUACGGCAGUCUUUGCUCCUUCAUACAUAUCCUUUAUAGCUUGGAUAUGUGCUACUCGUACUCCUUUCUUCUCUAAAAUCCUCCAAAGAAUGUCUCUUGGGACCCUAUCAUACGCUUUUUCCAAAUCUAUAAAGACCAUGUGUAAAUCCUUUUUCCCAUCUCUAUAUCUUUCCAUCAAUCUUCGUAAGAGAUAGAUUGCCUCCAUGGUUGAGCGCCCUGGCAUGAACCCGAAUUGGUUGUCCGAAACCCGUGUCUCUUGCCUCAAUCUAUGCUCAAUGACUCUCUCCCAGAGCUUCAUUGUAUGACUCAUUAGCAAUUCUCAUCUUCCCAAAGGAAUAAACCAAGAGCAUGAAUUCAGAAAAAUAUAUAAACAAGGCGAAAACGGGGAGUCUUCUGGGAAAUGCUCUAAACUCAUGGUAAGACUGUUCACCUUCUAUGGUUUGGUGUGAAAAGAAAUUUGAGGGGGGGGGUUGGAUUGUUAAUAGCAUUUGGUAUUUAUAUCACCCACUCUCAAAUCCCUUAAAAUCCUUCAUUCACAAAAAUCCUAGCAAAUCUUUAACAUUUCCACUACACCUAGAUUUGUAUGGACUUUUUAAACUUUUAAUUGACUACCCAUGAAUUUGGAUGUAUUCUUUAAAUCCUCCUAUAUCCUAAUUUGACUACACCAUGAUUUUAAAAUAUUUUAAAAUCCACAUUCAAACUUCUAAUUAACUACUCUGAUUUUAAAGUCCGUUAAAAUACUAUCAAAUUCUAGUUUGACUACACCUCUUACUUUUCCGGCAACUUCUUGCAGUGAAGAAGGGGCGAAAAGAAAUUCCUGGAAAUUAGCUUACCUUACUUCUCCCUUACUCUUUCUCCCUGAACCCAUACCAAACAGAAAUCGCCGAAAAUCCUCUCCCCUACCCUCUGUCACUUGGCGAAUUACAGAAAUGCAGCUGUUGGAUGUGGAAUCAAGCAGGGAAAAUGGUAAUUUCACUACCCCACUCUCACUCCAGAGUCAAAGAUCCGCACCAAAUCUCUCUCACUCUCUCUGUCUCUCUCUGCAAGCGACAUUGCUGUCCCCCUCUGUCGGCUCUAGAAUUCCCUACCCAUCAAUCCAAAUUCGUCCCAAAAUUAAGAUGACAAAAGUGCCCUGCAGCCCUUCAAUCUCAUCCGCGUGAUCCUAACCCUAGAUAGAUAUUUCCGUCAUUUAAGCACCCUAAGGCAUACAAGUAUGUUCAUUCUUGUUACAAGAAAGCAGCAUACUUGAGAGCCUACACUCCUUAUAUCCAAUCCAUGCCUAGUCAAGAAUUUUGGUCACCUACAAAUCACCAACCCGUUGCACCUCCAAAGUAUCAUAAGCAAGCUGGUAGGCCAAAGAAGCUGAGGGCAAGAGAGAAAGAUGAGCCACAACCACCAUCAACCUUAAACAAAUUGCCUAAAUGCUUCAGUAAGGUCACUUGUGGAAUGUGUGGCAAGAAAUGUCAUAAUUGUACAACAUUCGGGAAGAAGCAACGACAAGCUUCACAGGUAAAAGUAGCUUAAUGCUUUCACUUAUCUGCAUUUUUUUUUUUUUUGAAAACUCACUUAUCUGCAUUUUUAGUCACAUAUGGUUGUUAUAAAUUGGGGAAUAUCAUCUCAUAGGCCUAUGUAGAAGCUGGGAGAGGACAAACUUGUGGGACAAAUGAAAUUGGCCAUAACUCACCAACUACUAAAAGUGGGCAAACACAAGCAAUGGUGUGCUCACUGAAAACUUUCGUAUUUUAAAUUUUAGUCUUGUAUUUAUAGACGGAUGUAUGUGUAACUUUUUUAUUGAUCAUUUUGUAGCAUGCCACUGGAGGAAAUAUGGGAAGUGAAACUCCACCAAAUCAGGGACAAGAACAAUCUGCAUCUAAUGCAAGUUCUUUUGACCUAUGUCUUUGUCCCUUUCUCGUGUGUGCUUUUAUAACCCAAUGCCAUCUGUUAAUUUUUCAGGUUUUUUAUUAUUUAUUAUUUUUAUUAUUUGUAGGUUUCUAAAAGGCGUAGUGUGAAAUGAAAUGCAAAAGGCAAGUCAGUGCACAAUUCAAGAAAGCCACCUGAAAACUGUAGAAUCUGAAGGAAAUCAUUUGGAAAUUUAGACUUUUUGUUAAUGUCAAUUUUUUUUUUUUUUUGAUGAAGACAAUGUUGUGAACUUUAAGCCCUGUUUUUUAUUUUGAACAUAAUUAAGCAAUGAAAUAAUAUUUUUGAUAUGGUAGCAAUCAAAUGAUCAGGCAUUGCAUUCUGUUAUGGUUGCUCAAAAUAUGUUUAAGAUACAAUAGUGGGUGUGUUCAGUUUAGCAUGUCACAAAAUCAAAUUUUAUAUGGGCUCUGUAAUAUAAGAAACGGGUUGAGAUUGGUGCCAUAAAUGGAGUUGUAGAUGCAUAUGCGCUACUCGAACACAACUAUCCACAUGAAUACUCUCUAACAAAAUUUUAAGAGUUUUACUAAAGAAAAGUAAAAACUUGUUAAAAGAUCUUAAAAUGACAUAAAUAACCCCGAACAAAGCCAUGUGUGAGGCACAUGACUUAUUUUGGAUGGAAAACUUAACGGAGUAAGAGUGAGAUGACAAAUUGAUGAUUUCGACAAGUUGGUAUGAUAAAUUGCUUAAAAUUUUAGUUUAUAUGACACAUUGAAAAAGAUGUACAAGUUCAUAUUAUAUUUCAAAAAAAUUCCUUGGAAAAAUUAUGGUCCCUACGUCCAACCAAAUAAUAAGGUUUUUGAUGAGAUAAUGCAUGCCAACUUGAGCAUUAUAAUGUUCAUGAUUUUGUUUGAGUCUAUACAUAUAUUUACUCCGUAAACGUAGAUUAGGUCGGUUGGUAAGCCAUUGUAUCUGUCACGUUUUUAUAUUUAAGUUUAAAUUAUUCUCUCGUAACUCGUAAGUUAUAGCUUCUAAUACCGUCUUAACAAAACUAAAUAUACUUAUUUUUAGUGGGAUAUAUUUUGCUUAAGUAUGCAUGUUUGCAAGAUUAAAUGAAAACCUCCAAAACGUAUGGGGUUAAAUUGAAUUCUAACCACCACCACCACCCCCAUAUAAUUAGGGCAAAAGGCGAAUUUAGGAGGGCUCCUGUUACAGCCCAUCCAUAAUUUUUUUUUGUUAAAUGUGUAACGAUCAAAAUGCCCUUAGAGGGUAUGUGUCGACUUUCAUUAACUUACUGGACAGGUCACGUGUGACAUAUUAAUUAGUAUAUUCUGACAGCAUUCGUUAUUAUGAAUGACUGAUCAUAAGCAUAGCGAAAAUUAGAACUAGAAGCAAGAUUUUAUGAAAUAGUAUAAAUCAUUUUAUUUAAAGUAAUGGAAAAGAUAAUAACACUAGAUAUAAAAUAUGAAUGAUAGAAUAAAAUAAUUUUUAAAAAAAAAAGAUGAAAAGAUGAGAGGUGGAGAAGGAUCGGGAAGAAACGAAAAGAAGGGAAAAGUGGAGAAGGGGGAAAGAAACUUUUCUUCUUCUUCCUUCUCCUUCACUCACGGUAUCCCUUUCAAACUAUUUUCAUCAUAAUUUCCUCAUACGAUAACGAAAUCACAUGAGGUGGGAAGCUAUAGUUUCGUAGCAAGGCCGUCUUCAAUCUUACCAUACCCACCCUUUCAAAACCAUUGUAUAAAGAAAACGAGGUCCAAAUAUAUUGACGUGUUAUGGCGACUUUUCUCUGAUUUCGGGCAAUCCCACUGGAAUCUAGCUCGACCCAAGUGAAAAUAAUGAUUUUCCCCUCGUGGGCUCUCCUCUAGCGUAAGCAUUUUUCCAAGGUUUUAACUUUUAGUUUUGGGGUCAAUUCAUGGUUUCGAAUUUUAAUUCGAUAUUUUGUAUGCAUAUUUGAGAUGAUGCUUGUUGUAUUGUUUAGGAGUUGAAUCGGAACCGGGUAGUCAUGUUUGGUUGCAUAUAUAAGGAAGAACAUUGAAAUCCUAACCUCAAUUCGAUUCUCUUUAGAAAUUUAAGGGUUGGGUUUGUGUUAUAAGCAUUAAUGUUAUUCCAUAAUCGAGGCCAGAUACGUUGGAAUAUUUUGUGUGCCAUAUUUGUCCUACCCUUUAUGCACUGAAAAGAACAUUGCUGAAAUUGUAUGUGUUGCAGCCUAGGUUUGUCACGCCCCGAUCCCGACAUACGUUCAUGAUGGACACGUGACGUCAUCAAAUAACCAUAUAUCUAACAUACCCGUCUUUGGGAUAUGUACCAAGCACAUCCCAUACCUCGAAUUGCGUAGUCAUUUUUUUUUUGUACACUUUAUGGCUGCAUCUAACCUCCCGUUAGACUGCCUACGUACCCUCAAUAGGGAUCAAGCCAUUCGUAGUUCGUCAUUCACUAAUUUAGACAUUUAUUCUAGUACGUUCUAACAGGAAUACGUAGCAUUCUGUAAUUAAUUAUUAGAACUUGACAUGCAUGACAUUACCAAGUUCAAGGCUACAAAACAAACCAACAUGCCAUUGUCAUUCCACAAUCUUGUCAAUCGAUCAAUUCAUAAAUCAAAGAUACAUGAUCUUAGCAUUUAAUUAUGUUAAUCAAUGAAUGCAAUAACAUGUCAUUUCACAAAAUUAACCAAGGAACUCUAUAUAAUUUCCUACUUGGAUUAUGAGCAAUAACAUGGUAAAUCUAUUUUAUAUUCGCAAGGUCUAUUGUGGAUAACUCUCAUUCAUUCGAAUCUAGGCUUCUAGACUAACCUUAUGGGAAUGAGCAAGAGCAAGGAUUCCGGACCACUCAACAGAAUCCAACAACACUGAGUUUCGGACCACUCAACGAAACCAAAAUAUCAAGUGGUUUCUUAUAAUCUAUCCAGGCCUGUCAUAUGUAAAAUCAGUGCCAACAUCAUGGAAAUGGUGCACCGACCAAACAGAACUCGGAUAAGCUGCGAAGCUCGGGUGAGUGACAAUAAUACAAGUAUGUGAUAAUCAAUAAAAACAAAGACCAUUGAUCAGAGUUUAUAAACCUCAAUAUAAGUUCGUAAAUAUAAAAACAUAGUCAAGUCUCUAACAACUCUGAAUGAGUCAUCCAGACAUCCAACGGCUUUUCCCAUUCAAACCACCAAGAUUCUCAAAAACCAUCAUUCAUAUGUACAUUAAAAACUAGGGCUAGAGGGAUGUAGUUCAGCCGAAGCCUACAUAAGUAACCAAACACGAAGUGGCCACCCAAAGCGGAUUAACCAAGCAGAGCCACCCCUGAGAAAGUAACCAAGUAGGCAAUGACCCUCCAAUGCGGAUUAACCAAGCAGAGUCACUCAUAUAGUUGUUAGGAAGUGAUCACCCAAUGCAGAUUAACCAAGCAUGAUCACUCAUAAGCAUACAUGGCCAUAAGGAUCGCCCAACGCAGAUUAACCGAGCGCGAUCCACAUAUAGUAUGGUCCCCCAAUGCGGAUUAACCAAGAAGGACCACUAGUGACCCCCCCAAUGCGGAUUAACCAAGCAGGGUCAAGAUAAUUAGGUAGGUAGUGACCCCGAACGCGGAUUAACCAAGCAAAGUCACACCUACAGAACUGUUAGGCAGUGAUCACCUAACGCGGAUUAACCAAACAUGAUCACCCCUAAGUAUAAAUGGCCAUAAGGAUCACCCAACGCGGAUUAACCAAGCGUGAUCCAUAUAUAGUAUGGUGCCCCAUGCGGAUUAACCAAGCAGGACCAUCGAUAUACCAUUGCUCCAUGGUGCAGGAAAUUUAACACAUAAUCUACCCACAACUCAACCCCUAUGGGUUACAACGUAGUCACUACACCAUCAACUUCUCAUGGCCACCAACUAAUACAUCACACAAUCAUAUAAAUUCUACAUAAUACUUCUAAUAGGAUUCUAAGAUCACAUAGUCAUAGCAUUUAUCAUUCUUAUCAUUCACAUUGCUAAAAAGAGAUAAUUAAACACACGUAUAUUACAAUCAUCAAUACACAAGCCAAAUCACGUAUAGCUAAAUAUAUAUAUAUAUAUAUAAAAAAUCACAUUUCAAAAGAAAUUACAUUUAUAAAACCAAGUCAUAUUCACAAAUGAUAUUAAUAUAAGAAAUUAAGGUAAUAACCAUAUCACAUAUAUUCAAAUCACUCUCUAACCAAUGGUUCACUAGACUUCACUUAGUCUCCCGUAGUACCAAUUUUAGUAUCCAAAACGUUUCGGGACAUGUUGACCAAAAGUCAACUCUCGAUCAACGGUAGGGUUCGCAACUCCACGUAAUUCAAUCCGAAAGAUCUGCCGAUCCGAUUUUGGAUCCGUAAGUUCUUAGGUCCUUAUUAUUCUCAUAGAAUAACAUACUAAAUUCUCAUUGAGAUCCGACGGCCGGAUCUCCGCCAAUUUCUAGAAUUAGGUGGCGGUCAACAAUAAGUUUUACAAACUUAGAAAUUCAAUUCGGGAAAAUCCGUACUUCGGAUUCCCGAUCCGUCAAUUUCUAAUGUCCUAAAAUAUUAUGUGUUAUAAUGCACUAAAGUUUGGAGACGAUCCAACAGUUGGAUCAUCAAUUCGUAUAAUGAUCAAGUGAUGUAUCAUAAUGAAACUAGGUUCAAUUAAUCAAAUCACAUUAUUCGGAUAUCAAAUAUGAAAUUAGGGCAUCUAAUUGGACUUAGAAAGACAUCAUCGGUCCACCGCCGCACGCGCCGCCGCACACGGCGGCCUGUCGUCCCAACUUGCAGGAAAAUUCAACUAACUCCAAAAAUUAUCAAAUUUUACAGGCAAGUAGAUUUCAAUAAGAGGAACAACUUUCAUACCUGGUCCAAAGUCCAAUUCAGCCGGGAAGUGGCCUGAAAACUCCUCCAUCAGCCAGAACCCUAGAAAUUAGGUGCGGUUCAAUUCAAUGUCAAACUCAACUCCACCGCCUCCAAUGUUGAUUGGGCUUUGUUCCUGGACUCUAAAGACACUUGAGGGUGGUGAUGGUUGACGGAAAUCCCUUCGAAAAUAGGCGGAUCGCCGUCAUGGCUUCGGAACACCCACUGUCAGUUCUUCACCAAAUUACCCUAAAUUACUUCGAAUAGGGAGUGGUGAGAUAAAGCUUGGGCAUGUGAAUUCGGUCCAAUUUGAUGGAAAUCCAAUGGAAAACCAUCAGAAAAUAUGGUGGAACAAGUCGGGUGCGCGGGUCAAGGGGAAACUCGAUUUCCCCCUCAUUCUCUCCUUCCCUCAUUUCCCCUUCUUUCUUCCUCCCUCAUUCGCUACCUCCUUUCUCUAUCCUCCUCCCCUUGGCCGAAACUCUCCCCUUUUCCUCUUGAAACUCCCUUCUUCUUUCUUUUCUUCCCUUUUUUUUAAUUGGCUGCUGCCUAACCUUUUUUUUUUGUUUAAAUCUGAUUGGUCAUUUCCCUCUUCUAACCAAUUGGUCCUUUAACCCAAAUAUCGGUAUGGGCCUCUUACUCACAAAGUGGGAGAUAAUUAAUUCCUAAAAUCUAUAGUAUCACAACUUUAAACGUCGGUAAUUAUACUGUUAUAAUCCGAACUCGCAAACGGCUUUCGCUUGUGCGUUCAUGGGAUCGAGCUCUAUUCAGAAAUAUAAAUUGUGACCUCGAAAGAUCUACGGAUUUUAAAUAAUUAAUUUCCAAACUUCAAACUUCGUAACUGGUUUAAUUAAAAUCUAAAUUCAAAUAAAUUACUAUAAAUUCCCAAAAACAACAUAAAAUUUCAAUAAUAAUAAUGCGUGGAUUAUAACAGUGAAAUCCGGGAACGAGAUUUCACAAGGUUUGUGCAGUUAAUUAGAGUUCUAAAACUACUGAAUGGUUCUUUAUUCUUCCCAUGGCAUAUUUAUUCUUCCCAUGGCAUUGCCAGAUGUUGAAUAUUUGAUUGGACAAUGUUAUUAUUAGAGUAUUAUAUGACUUUUGUUUUGGCUGUGGAUUUAUUGGUGGUUCUUUAUUUCAUUCUUUCAGCGGAUGAAGAGCUUAAGACUGCUAGGAAUUUACAUUUUUAUUUUGAGGCACUUGAAUAAACAAUUUGGUUUUUCUAUAAUAAUAAUUAAGGAUCAUUGAUGGUUGGGCUAGUGUACUAGUUACGAAUAAUUAUAUGAAUGUUAUAGUUUAUGGAUUGCAUGUUAUUCUAUGGCCUGAGAACUAGUUCCUUGGUUAAGAUUAAUGGAUUAUCAAACAUUAUACAUAUUCUCUAAUUGAAUACAUUACUAUGUUUAUGAGUUCAAGAUCAAUUUAUUAUGGCUGGUAUAGAUAUCAAUAGUUGACAUAUCCAAUUUGGUGUGGUUACUUUUCGUUUAAGUAUUUCACGCUUAUACGUAUCAUGUUGUUUGCUUAAAUGAUACAAUGGAUGUCCUAUUAGGUGUAAAUGUCUACAUGCAUGCCUAUUCUGAAACCAAAAUCAAGUUGAUGGUUCAUGUUUUGAAGUUAUAUAUAUGUGUGAGUGUGUGUGUGUGUGUGUGUGUGUCUCAUAUGCCUAGACAAGCUAUACAAAGAAAGUAUACCGUUUCUAUUAGUUAUUCUGAUUACAUGUACGUAGUAAUGACUUGCAGUGGUGAUAUGAGUUUAUUGAAAUGAUAAACCACAAAUGACUUGAUCCCUUUAGGGUAUGUAGGCAGUCUAACGAGGAGGUUAGAUGCAGCCAUAAAGUAUACUAAAAUUACUACGCAAUUCAAAUCUUGAGUUAUGCUUUGUACAUAUCCCGGAGGCGGGGUAUGUUAGAUAUACAGAUACUUGGUGACGUCACGUGUCGAUCCUGGACAUAUGUCGGGAUCGGGGCGUGACGGCUCAUUUCAAUCAUUUUGUACCCCUACAUAUUAUUGUGAUUCAAUGAAGCUCCCCAUUAAAUGAAUUGCACCAAAUAGGGGAGGCCUUCGCGGGAUCUCUGUGUCCGAAGCCGACAAACACAGAGAUCCAAACCACUCAUUUUAAAUUAUAUGGUUCUUAUUAGCUCAUUCUAAUGGCCUUCCUCACACAAACCACUGAGUUUAGAUCUCCCUCUCUUUAACUACCUUGGAUAUGGGGUCACUCUUUAACCACCACCACCCACCCACAACAAAAGUACAACUAUAAGCAAAGUUGUAUGAGGGGUCGCUCUAAAAUUGAUCUUAAAAUUAAAUAGUCCGUCGUUCCAAAAAUUGUUUUGGCAAUAUUGCAUUUAAAAUUAUCUGACAAUAUAACAUUAUUCCGAAAAAAAUUUGUAUAAAUUAUAAGUUCAAACAAAAGACACUAUAUAGCUUAUUCUUGACUAUUUUAGGUGUAUAUAUACUCCAUUGCUGAAAAUUCUACUAUGCUCAUCAUAAUUCUUGCCAAUUGACCAGGCAAUUGGGUUAAAUUACCUUUGACCAAAAAUAUGAUGGUCCGUCGAUGCCAAAUUGGGCAGGCAAUUGUUGGGCUCCAAGAAGCUCGUUGAACUACCCUUGCAGCCCGUUGGCAAUAAGUAACGACGGGCCUGACGUCAAGUAGCUGGAGGCUGACCUUAACCCCGUGCACCAAUGUUGAACCAAACAGCUCUAAUUUGGGCGCCCCACAACUAUUGGAUUUUCAACAAUUUGUUGAUCCGGACUAUUAAAUUUCAAAAGAUACAAGUAAUUUAAAAGAUGAUGUUGUGCCACGUGGCACUUUGUGGCGCAUUUGAUAUUAAAAUUUUGAAAAAUUCAACGGUCAGGAUUAAUCCCACGGUAAAAAAUACAAAAAAAAAAUUAGAAAAAAUUUACAACAAAAAAUAUCUAAAAAAACUUUCAAAUUUCACACUUAAACAAAAAUCUGAGCUGAUAUUACUAAUAGAUAAAGACACGUGGUGCGAUGAAAGUGGUUGAAAAUGGAAAAGUAUCCUCUCCGGCUCCCUUCCACCAAAUCCACCAAGUUCAAAGAUCCGAGUAAUUUAAAUUUGAUCAAACGGCUACAAACAAAGUUCACUAUAAAAGUUAUAAUAGAUUUGAUCAAAUUUCAAGGGCCGAUCCGAACUUGUGAAUUUGGCGGAAGGGAUCCGGAGUCAUUUCUGUUGAAAAUCUCAUCGCCUCUCCUUUCAGCCCUUCAAGGAAAACCCACUUCUUGGGCCGUCUUCAACCACGUAAAGCUUCACUCUUAUAUUAGUUUCGGUGUUUAAAAUUGUUGGGAUUUGCAGUUUUGGAUUGAAAUUUGUGUUUUGGGAUUUGUUGGGUGCUCGCAUGUGUUAAUUUGGAAAAUUUUAGUUGUGGAUUAUGGGGAACUGAUGUAAUGGCGAUCCCGUUUCAUGUAAGUUGCUUUUGUUGAUGUGUUUUUGGUGAAAUAAUGACGAGGAGGGUUGGAUAGUUUGGCUGGUUUUAAUUUUUUUUUGUGAAAUUAGAGUGGGAUCAAUCAAGGUUGAGACUUUUUAAGGUAAGAGUUAUUGUGAAAGUUAUGUUUUUACAAAUUUUUGGGCAAAUUUUGUGACUUGGUGGAUUUGGAAUUUUGGUUAUAUUAGAUAUAUGUGUAAAGAAAAUAGUUGAACUGCAUGAAGCUUGAGGGGUAAUGAGGGUUUUAGGUAUUUAGUGACAUUCAGGCCAUGCUUGAUGUCUAUUUGAUGUCGGUGUAUCGGAAAUGCUUGAACAAAGAAGAAAGGUGCUCGAAGAGCUGCAGUAGUUAACUACUUGGUUUGAUUAGAUUGCUAUGUUAAUCAAAAUGUCCCCUGUAGUAUGUUUAUAGGGUUAAAGUUUUACUUUAGCGUUCUUUAGCGACUUGGUUUCAAAAGUUCACUUUCCUUGGUCUGUGAGGCCAAUGGUAGAAUGAUCAUGGAAAAAUGAAAUUGUUCUGUCUUAAUUUUGUCUGGUAAGAGCGGGUAUGCAUUCUUACAGGACUCGUUUGUCAUUCUUUUAAGCUGUUUAAUGUGCUCAUUUCAGUAUGCAUCAUCCAAAGUCUUUAACCGCUCAAAGUAGCACUACAAGGGCCAGGGAGCUAUCAUCUGUUUGUAAAUAAGAGCUAUAGACAUGUCCUAUAAGGUCAAUAGGUCUCAGUUGCAUAUCUAACUUGUUUCUCAUGUGUUUUCAUCCUAAAGGUUAGAAAAGGUGGGUGCUCUAGACACGCAAGGAGUGGUUCAUCAACACCAAGGGAUGGCGGCUGAUCUCAUGUAUGUGGUUACAUGCUGGAGUUUUCCAUGUGCUUGCCAAUAUGCUGAGUCUUGUAUUCAUUGGAAUUCGGCUUGAGCAAGAAUUUGAAUUUGGUAAGCAUCUGGAUUUUUAGCUUCAUGUAUGUUAUCAUGCAUGUAUGGCCACAUCCAUAAGUGAUUGUAGUAAAAGAUAAUACAUAUAUAUAUAUAUAUAUAUAUAUAUAUAUAUAUAUAUAUAUAUAUAUAUAUAUAUGAGCAAAAAGCCGUCUCAAAGAAGGAGAACGAAGCUUUAAUCUCAUUGGCUACUACAUAAUGGAUAAAAAGGUCGUACCUAGUGCACAAGGCUCCUGCUUUACGCAGGGUCUGGAAGAGGUGAAUGUCGGCUAGCCUUACCACCAUUUAUGGAGAGGCUGCUCCCAAAUCUCGAACCCGAGACCUACCGCUCAUGAGCGAAAGCACUUGCCAUCGCACCAAGUGCGACCUCUAGCUACUACAUAAUGGAUGCAUCAAAAAAAAAAUCCACACAUAUAUGACAUUAGCGUAAAAUUAUAUGAAAUGGGUUCAGUCUAAAACUUGUAACAAGCUAAGUUGUACAUUUCUUGAAUUCAUCUGGCAAAAGGCUAGUUCUGUCUUAGCUAACUUUGUAAUAUACUUCUACUAAAGCAUGCCAACAAUCUAAGUUUAAGUUCCUAUUACUACUAAGGCAUUCCAUCUUUCAACUCUAAAUCUUAAGAAUAAUCAGAAAUCCACCAACUUUAAAGAUAUUUGACCCUCCCACAACAUGGAAUUGAUGGUUUACAAACACAGUAUCAAACAGAAAAUAGUAUUGCAUAUGAACAUGAUUUGAACGAAAUAGGAGCCAGAAGAAAGAAAUGCCCACCAUCCUGUCAUGAACUUUUUUGAUGCCCAACUUCUAACAAUUUUGGAAAACGUCUGCACAGAGAUAAAAAGAGAUUAGAAUGAUUGUUAUGAAGAUUAAGAAAAAGGAGCACAAACACUCAAAGCAUCGGAAAACUUAUGCCCCAACUUAGGCCACCAAAAAGUAACAAACUUUGACACACUGUAACCGUUUCUUCUUCUCCUUCCGAUUCAGAGUGUAUUAUGCGUCUUGCCUAGUUGUAUUAUGUUGAAAAGUUGGACUGGGCAUUCAUAUGGCUUCCCUUUCUCCGGCCAAAACCAAACAACAGCUUGCUCAUCCCCUGCAAUUAAAAUACAACAAAAAAAAUCAAAAGAAUAAGUUAAAAUUUAAAAUCUCAUCUGGGUACGUUGGGUUCGAUAUUUUAUCAAUUGUUGUUUCUGAGUUGUGUUUUUUGCGGAUUUUCACAACCAAAAAUAAACCUUAAUACCCAGACCUAAAUUCUUGUUCGGAUUUUAUUAGAUUUUUUAUACCGUAUAACUUACCAAUUUCCAUUGUGUUUGAGAAGAUAAACUACUUUUGUAAAGAACUUUAGAAUUCUAAAUUAGGAUAAAUUGCUUAUCUUUAGCAAAAUGGAUUCUACUGCUAUUCUUCACAGGCGACGGUGAAUGUUUGGGUGCCGCUGCUGGUUGGGAUUGCGCUAGUUGUUGCACACGCGGCGUUGAGGUGGACCGAUGGGUUGCCGUGGACAAAGAGAGCUCUGCGUUGUUGACUGGUUAUUCGGCUCGAUUAUGCGAAUUCAUGGAUUUGGAUGAAUCAGUGAUGGCGGUGGUUUGGGUAAACUAUUUGGAGAAACAAUUUACAGCGUCACACGGUGGGGAAGCAUCCAGAAAUCAGGUGGGUCGACAGACUGAAACGGUGGGGCAAGGAAGAAUUCAGAAAUGAAGUAAAAGACCAAAGAAUAAUAAGGGGGUGUAUUCAAUUAUUGGUAUUUUAAGAGCUUUUAAUUUUUUUAAUGAAUAUAGGGUGUAUUCAAUUACGAUUUUAAAAAGGUUCACAAUAUUACAAAUGUAUUCAAUUAGUAUUUGAUUUUAAAGAAUUUUAGAAAGUUGAGUAAUUAUAGGAAAUUUGAGAGAUUUUGUAGUAUAUUUUAAGCAUCUAUAAAUCUCUUAUCUUCCCAUGAGAUUUCAAGGUAAUUAAAUUAAAAUUUUACAUAAAAUCUUUACAAAUCAAUUAAACUUCAUAAAAAUCCAUGAAUUUAUAAACCUUUUAAAAUCUCAUCAAUUCUCAAUUGAAUACACCCUUUUAAAGCAGGACUCAAGAUGGAAUCUCAUUGUACAAUAUACAGUAACGACAGAAACAGAGAAAGAAUAAAAAUGGAAUAACACUGUAGAAUAAACAGUGUUUUAGGCAAUUUUCUCUUUUAGUGUGUGUAUAUAAUUUGCAUAGUAUGUAACACUGAGAAAAAUGACACGUAAUAUAACAACAACAAAACACUAAGAACUACUAAAUCUUAUUCUAUUAUGCAUGGGUUAGCCGUAUAAAUUCUAAAAUUUCACUAAGCCGGUUUGGUGAUAAGUUUUUCGUUACCAUCGUACUCCAUAUCUUUCUUACCAUUUCUUCCCAAAUGUUCUUACUUCCUCUACCCUCUGAACUAACCCAAGAAACAUAAAUUUUUUUUUUUUUAAAAAACCCCAAAAAGUAGAAAAAAAAGAGGCAAACUUCAGAACCCAUUUCAUUCAAUUUUUCCCACAUUUUGAUUUCGAUGAGAUUCGAAUCAAAACCCAAAUGGGGUUUCUGGGUCUGAAUCCAAAUUUUUGAUUGAAGACAAAAAAAACGAAAAAAGGGGAGAUUUUUAUGGAGAGAGGCCAACCUGCUGCGCCGAGCAGCUUAGAGAUAAAGGUGGUGAGUCCACGGCGGAGCGACAACGUUGUGCACCCGGCGGGACAGCCUCCGGAGACGACGACGCCGCGGCAAUCGUUCAGCGACUACAGCCCGUUGAAGAGGUGGGUGUCAUGGCUGGUGCCGUCGAUUGUGGUGGCCAACAUUGUGGUUUUUGUGGUGACCAUGUUCGUGAACGAUUGCCCCAAGAACUCCGACACUUGCAUUGGUCGGUUCCUCGGCCGCCUCUCCUUUCAGCCCUUCAAGGAAAACCAUGUAAAUUUUUCACUCUUUUAUUUGUUGGGGUUUGGAGUUUUGGAUUGAAAUUUGUGUUUUGGGAUUUAUUGGGCAUUUACAUGUGGAAAUUUGGAAAAUUUUAGUUGUGGAUUGUGGGGAACUGCCGUAGUGGCGGCGAGCCCGUUUGUGUGUUUUUUGGUGAAACUAUGAUGAGGAGGGUUGGAUAGUUGGAUUGGUUUAGUUGUGAAAUUAGAGUGGGAUCAAUCAAGGUCGAGACUUUUUUAGGUAAGAGUAAUUGUGAAAGUUAUGUUUUUACCAUUUUUUAGGUAAAUUUUAUGACUUGGUGGAUCUAGAAUUUUGGUUAUAUUACAUAUAUUUGUAAAGAAAACAGUUGAACUGCAUGAAGCUUGAUGUAAUUCUGCUUUUAAUCAAUGUUGGACUUGGGAACCCUAGUGAAUAUAGAAGUGAAUCUACGAUUAGUUGAGAAACUUAAGGGAGCUUGACGGGUAAUGAGGGUUUAUGUAUUUAGUGACAUUCAGGCAAUGCUUGAUGUCUAUUUGAUGUCGGCAUAUUGGAAAUGCUUGAACAAAGAAGAAGGGUGCUUGAAGAGCUGCAAGUAGUGAACUACUUGGCUUGAUUAGAUUGCUAUGUUAACCAAAAUGUACCCUGUAAUAUGUUACAGGGUUAAAGUUUUACAGUAGUGUUCUUUAGCGAUUUAGUUUCAAAAUUUUCGUUCGACUUUCCUUGCUCUGUGAGGUCAAUGUUAGAAUGAUUAUGGAAAAAUGAAAUUGUUUGUCCUAGUAUCUCUGGUAAGAGCGGGUAUGCGUUCUUCAAGGACUUGUUUGUCAUUCUUUAAAGCUGUUUAAUGUGCUCAUUUCAGUAUGUGUCAUCCAAAGUCUAUAACUGCUAAAAGUAGCACUACAAGGCCGAGGGAGCUAUCAUCUGUAUGGAAAUAAGAGCUAUAGACAUGCCCCAUAAGGGUCAAUAGGUCUCAGCUGCACAUCUAAGUAUCUAACUUGUUUCUCAUCUGUUUUCAUCCUGAAGGUUAGAAAAGAUGGGUGCUCUAGACGUUCAGAGAGUGGUUCAUCGACACCAGGGAUGGCGGCUGAUCUCAUGUAUGUGGUUACAUGCUGGAGUUUUCCAUGUGCUUGCCAAUAUGCUGAGUCUUGUAUUCAUUGGAAUUCGGCUUGAGCAAGAAUUUGGUUUUGGUAUGCAUCUGGAUUUUUGGCUUCAUGUAUGUUAUCAUGCAUGUAUAGCCACAUCCAUAAAUGUUUGCAGUAAAAGAUAAAGCACACAACAUAAAUUGUAGAAUAAUAAAUUAGUUACCAAGUGCAAAACUUCUUUCAUAAAUCUAGAAGAGACACUUUCCGGAUGGUUUCAUCUACCUUGCGAUUAAUCUACAGAGGAUUUCUCUGCAUUUGUUUAUUGAAUUGUAAUCCUAGAGUAGUGGUCAUGUAGUGCUGGUUGCAUUAUAACUUUCACCAGUAUGUUGCUAGGUUUGAUGGAAACAAGAGGACGUUUUAUUCAGCGGUGAGCAAAGAAAAGAGUUUAUACACCGAAGAUGGGGUUCAAACUUUAGUUUUAGACAUAGUAUUUCAUUUUAUAGAAUAAAAUUGCUUGAAACAAAAGCUGAGAGAUUAUUUCAGUUUUCCAUCACAUCUGUGGGAACAAGGAUUGUUUUGGAUAUCCAGUACAUGUAGACAUGGUUCCUCAUUUUGAAAUGUUUCAAGAUGCCGUCUAUUUGAAAAGAUUGAAAAAAUAAUAGUUUGAUGCUGAUCUACAUCAUGUACGGUUGUUUUGAUGAACUGUUUUAACUAAUUGGUUUGAAAUUCUAAUUUUUUUUUUAUUUGUUCUUCGGCAGUUCGAAUUGGUUUCCUAUAUUCUCAUGUCUGGUUUUGGUGGGAGUUUGCUUUCAGCUCUUUUUAUUCAAUAUGGUAUUUCUGUUGGUGCUUCUGGUGCACUUUUUGGUUUACUCGGAAGCAUGCUUUCAGAGCUCAUAUCAAAUUGGACAAUGUAUGUAAAUAAGGUAAAUAAAGUUUCUGUAUACUCAACGAUGCACCUCUUUAUAGUAUGUGCACGACCCUUUGAUCUUACAGUUUCAGAUUUCAAUCCGCAGUUGGCAGCAUUGCUUACUUUCCUUUUCAUCAUCAUAAUAAACUUAGCAGUGGGAAUUCUACCACACGUGGACAACUUUGCUCAUAUUGGAGGAUUUGUCUCCGGAUUUCUUCUUGGAUUUUUUUUUCAUUUUGAACCAAAUGUUACAAAUUUCAAUCAAUGCUCUCGAGUCUUGAACCAAAUGUUUUUUCAUUUUGGAUGAUUGCCAAAUGUUUCCAGAGAGCUUCUGAAGUCAAGGUGCUUUAAGGGUCUUGGUCCUUGGCGUACCGAAAAUGCCAGACAAUAGGGCCCAGUAGUGGAAGUAAGCUAGUGAAGUCGUCUAAAAAAACAAGCCAAAGUUGUUCCUCCUAUGAUCCUAUCCUUGCUUUUCAGUGCAGUGUUCGUUUGCUGUAGGAGCUCCCUGCAGUCGGGACUCGGAGGGAAUGCGACGGAUAGGCUGGCGCUGCUUGCCAUCAAAGCUCAAAUAAAGCAAGAUCUCCAUAAUUACAACGUGAUGAGCUCCUGGAACGAAUCCACGCACUUUUGCAUGUGGAAUGGUGUGACGUGCAGUCGACGACAUCGUCAAAGGGUCACUACCCUAGACCUGCAAUCUCAAAAUCUGGUAGGGAAACUAUCCCCAAACAUUGGAAAUCUAAGUUUUCUAAGGGAGCUGUGGCUGUUAAAUAACAGCUUCAGUCAUGAAAUUCCUCCACAAAUUGGGAAUUUGCGUAGGUUGCAGGUAUUGCGAUUAGACUUUAACUCGUUUAGUGGCAGUAUUCCACACAAUAUAUCAUAUUGCUUCAACCUUAUCCAUGUGAAUUUCACUCGCAACAAGUUGGUGGGUAAAAUUCCUUCAGAAAUUGGAUUGUUGUCGAAGCUGCAAAAACUUGCAUUAGAAUAUAAUAAUGUAACGGGACAGGUCCCUCCUUCCUUGGGGAACCUUUCGUCUCUCCAGGGACUAAGUCUUCUUAGUAAUAACUUGAUGGGAAACAUCCCUAGUUCUCUUGGCCGGUUGAAAAAAUUAACCUUCCUGGGAUUGGGGGUAAAUCAGUUGUCUGGUAGCAUCCCUUCCUCCAUUUAUAACCUAUCUUCUCUUGUUACAUUUACCAUGCCAUUUAACCAAAUUCAAGGGAGUAUUCCAUCAGAUAUUGGCAAAAAUAUUCCUAAUCUUGGAUUCUUUAACGUCCACAAAAACCAACUCACUGGGUGCAUACCUCACUCAAUAUUCAAUGUCACAAGUGUUUUGGGUUUUGAUGUUGGGAGUAACAACCUAAUCGGACAGGUAUCGAAUCUCCAAAAGCUUCACAACCUCCUGCAUUUCAGCAUUCAAAAUAAUAAUAUUGGAAGCGGUAAAGAUGGUGACUUAAGUUUUCUCUCGGACUUGACCAAUGCCACCCAGUUACAACGGUUGUUUAUUAACAACAACAAUUUUGGAGGGACAUUGCCCAUGUCAAUAUCCAAUCUCUCAACCAAACUUGAUAUGUUUUGGGUUGGCGGUAACCAAAUAUAUGGAAGCAUCCCAUCUGGGAUAGGGAAUCUGGUGAGCUUGGAAUCGUUGUAUUUGGGGUAUAAUAGCUUCACAGGUAACAUCCCCUCUGACAUGGGUAAGCUGUCAAACAUUGGAAUAUUAGAUAUUUCCAAUAACACAUUAUCAGGAAAUAUUCCGUCUUCCAUAAGAAAUUUAACCAAGUUAUUCCGUCUUGCGUUGCAUAGAAAUCAUCUUGAGUGCAGCAUUCCUUCAGGUAUGGGGGAAUGCCAUGGGUUGCAAUUGUUGAAUCUUUCUUAUAACCUCCUAAAUGGCACAAUACCCAAACAAGUUUUUAGACUCUCCUCCUUAUCGAUUUCUUUGGACUUGUCUAAUAACCUCUUCACAGGUUCCCUUCCCUCGGAGGUUGGGAAUUUCCAGAGUCUAAGUGAACUGUAUCUUUCUGAUAACAUGUUAUCUGGAGAACUCCCCAGUAGGCUUGGUGGUUGUGAGAGUUUAGAAGUCCUGCAUUUGCAAGGAAACUUCUUCAAUGGGGCCAUUCCAUUGUCUAUGAGUUCAGUGAGAGGGAUUCAAGAUCUAGACCUUUCUCGCAAUAAUUUUUCAGGUGAAAUUCCGCAUUUUUUAGAAGGCUUUAGAUUCUUGAAUAAUUUGAACUUAUCCUUCAAUCAAUUUUGGGGAGUGGUACCAACUGGAGGUGUUUACAAAAAUGCGAGUGCUAUUUCAGUUAUUGGCAACACUAAUCUGUGCAGCCCUGUUGCUAAUUUAAGCUUCCCAAGUGCAAGUCUAUAGAGACCAAGACACAAAGAUUGUAUCGUAGCUUGAAACUAAUACUCCCUUUAGUAUUUGGACUUACUCUUCUAGGAAUAGCCAUGGUGUUCUCCUAUUUCUUUCUUUGUUCGUCAAGGAAGAAAAGGAAAGAAAUUUCAUUGAGCACUUUGGGGAACACUACUCUACAAGUGUCAUAUGCUGCUCUACUCAAAGCUACCGACGGGUUCUCAGAGGCUAAUUUAAUUGGUGCUGGUAGUUUUGGGUCUGUGUACAAAGGAGUUCUUGAUGAGGAUGACAAAUCUCAACUUGUUGCCGUGAAGGUGUUUAACUUGUUACGCCAUGGAGCUUUAAGGAGUUUCAUAGUCGAAUGUGAAGCUUUGAGAAAUAUUAGGCAUCGAAAUCUCGUCAAGAUUAUAACAAUGUGUUCAAGUGUUGAUUUUCAUGGUAAUGAUUUCAAGGCUCUAGUUUAUGAGUUCAUGGACAACGGGAGCUUAGAGGAGUGGCUGCAUCCACCUAUUGAAACUGAAGAGUUAAGAGACCAUGUACCCAAGAAGUUAAGUCUUCUUCAGAGGCUAGAAAUUGCCAUUGGUGUUGCUUGUGCACUGGAUUAUCUUCAUAAUCAUUGUAAAACUCCAGUAGUUCAUUGUGAUCUUAAGCCAAGCAACGUUCUCUUGGACAAUGAAUUGAUUGGCCAUGUUUCUGAUUUUGGAUUAGCAAGGUUUAUCUCACAAGUAACAAGUAAUGUUUCAGCAAUUCAGAGUCGGACAAGUUCUGUUGGAAUAAGAGGAACAGUUGGUUAUGCAGCUUCAGGUAUAUAUAUGUUAGAUAUGUACUUCAUUAUAUUUCCUUUUUUAUUUUGGAGUAUUGAAUUUACAAAAUUCAAAAUGAACUAUUUAUACACAAAUGUGAUGUUUGAAUUGUAGAGUAUGGCAUGAGGAGUGAGGUGUCAACGAAUGGUGAUGUCUACAGCUUUGGCAUUCUCUUGUUGGAGAUGUUUACACGGAAGAGACCCACUGACAACAUAUUUGGUGAUAGCUUGAACCUUCAUAAUUUUGUCAAGAUGGCUCUCCUCGGGCGAGUUACUGAGAUUGUAGACGCGCCACUUCUUCAAGGAGGCACAAACGAGAAUCCCAAUCAAUGCAACGCAAGAAUUCAUAAAGUUGAGGUGUGCUUGGGUUCAAUAUUUAGAAUUGGAAUUGCUUGUUCUGCUGAAUCCGCAACAGAUCGACUAAAGAAUAUCAAUGAUGCUGCAUCUGAACUUCAUUCCAUUAGGAAUACUUUUCUUGGAUAGAAACUCUUUUUUAUGUGCUUUUGUGAUAGAGAAGUUUCGUGUGAAGGGUGUAUUACUACUUUUAUGUACUGCCUGUGUAAGUCUAGCUUUUAUGUUACCACAGUAGAUGUGGAAGUUUGCAAUGUAAAUAAUCACCAAUGAGGUUCAUUGUGUGAAGAGUGUAUUACUACAUCUUGUACUUGGUAUUUUUGUGUAAGAUUCACAUCGAUUUGUUUGGAUCAAAACUUAAACUUUGGGCUCGAAGGAAGUUGGCCCAAAGAGCAGCCUAAAGGGGAGAGGUACUCGAAGGCCCAGUCAAAACCCAGCCGAAGUCCAGAAGACAGGAGAAGCUUGUUUCUGACUAGGUGCAGGCCAUGCAGACCACUUGCUCACCUACCCAAAGGCCAAGUGGUAUAGACCAGCCAGCUAAUCAGCCCAAAAAGUACUUUUAAAUGGUAGUACAAGUAAAUAGCUGAUGAGUCACUACCCUUCAAACUGCAUUCGGGCAAGGUUGUUGCUACCGGAGGCCAAGCCAAGGUGUCUAUAAAAGGAGAAAGAGAGGUCAGAAUCAAGGACACUCAAACAAACAAAUACAAGCACAAACUCUGCUCAAAGCCAGAUUUGCCUUCAAAACUAAGCUGUAGUCAGCCCAAGCCUUCAUCCAUUUCGGGAUAAACCUUUUGUAAUAGCUCUGCUACCCUGUUCAACUCUUGUUGUAGUAUCGAUUUCUUUUGUAAACUCACCUCCCAACCCUUUUUCUAAGCUUUCAAACUUUCUGAUAAACCACAAAGAUAGGAAGUUGCAAGACGAUCAGCCUUGCCUGACAAGGUUAAACCUUGCCCAACCCUCUUUGUUUUUUUUCUUUUCAUUCAUUAGCCUAGCAAUAUGUUGUAUACUACAAGUUGUAUCCCAGUUGUUUCUAGUAAUAUGGCUAUUAAAGGACUCUCUCAGCACUUGAAUCCGAUUUGAAUAUGUCUUCACAGUUUAAGCCAGAUUUAAGUUCUAAGUCUUCGGGCAUAUAAGAUUUGAUCAUUCUAAAAGUCCUUGGCCUCAAGGCAUAAAAAAGAACCUGAUGUGGACUUAACCCAUCCACUACAAGCUUUGAUAACAAGAAGUCCGAAGUUACUUGGGGCGCAAGUAAUCGACCUGUCACUUAGUUUUAUUGCUGUUAUAUUAUGAUUACCAUAUAGCGUCCGAGGACAGGAUGAAUUCUGAUGGGAAGCCUCAAGGCCUAUUCAAGGCCCCACAAAGGCACCUAUUUGGAUUCAUCCUAUUUCUCGGGCAAGAACAUUGAGUAUAGAAGGGGUUUUGAUGGGAAGCCUCAAGGCCUAUUUAAGGCCCCACAAAGGCAUCUAUUUGGAUUCAUUCUGCUCUUUGAGCUCAGGUAAUCAGAAGUAUGAUGGUUAUAAGACCCAUAUAACCAAGAAAAGGAACCUUAUGUGUUCGAGUACUAAGUUAGUUAUUUAUGGGAAGCCUCAAGGCCUACACCUAAGGCCCCACAAAGGCACCUGUCAAUAACUAAACUUAGUCUCUCGAAUAUAUAAUUAAACUCAAACAUCCGUUCUACAUCUGCCAUGCUGAAAAUGGCAGUGGCACGCCUGAGCACUUAAAAGUUAAUUUUGAUUGUGAGCCUCAAGGCCUACACCUAAGGCCUCACAAAGGCACCUUUCAAAGUUAACUUUGUCAUUCUCUUUCAGCCUUGCCCGACAAGCCCGCCAGUAAAGCAGGAGCCCGACAUAAAAGCAUCAACCGGCGCCAACCUCUCGGGGAGCUGUGUGCUCGUCGGACAGGAAGCAUCCCCCACGGAAAUUCCUGCCACGAACACGAUUAAAGUCUAGUUAGGGCCACGAAAUUGUUGAAUAUUCACAUUGACAUAUUUGAAAUUUUUGAAAGAUUCAUAACCUCAAAACCCUCAACGUUCAAUAAAAUCAUCUUGGCAGCUGUAAGAUGGUGAGUUGAGUUUCCUAUCAGACUUGACCACCAUCAGUGUUAGAUUCUGCAAGGGAAUUCCUAAUCUCAAGCUGCCCUAUUGCAAGUCUAAAGAGCUCCAAGAAAAGAAGAUUAGCUUGAAAUUAAUAAUCCCUUUAGUAUUCGGACUUGAUCUACUUGCAAGUGUCAUAUGCUACUUUCUCAAAAGCCACUGAUUGGUUUUCUUCAGCUAAUUCGACUAGUGUUUAACAUGUUAUACGUCAUGGAGCAUCAAAGAGUUUCAUAGCCGAAUAUAAGGCUUUGAGAAAUUUCAAGCAUCAAAAUCGUGUCAAGAUCAUAUCUACAUGUUUUCUCGAUGAUUAUUUCAAGGGUCAUGUUUAUGAGUUGAUGCACCAAAGGAGCUUAGAGGAGUGGUUGCUUCCCCUCCUGUAAUUGAAAAGGUAAGAGAUCAAUACAUCCAACAAUUUAAAAUCUUCUUCAAGGGCUAGAUAUUGUUAUUGGUGUUGCUAUUAUGCACUGGAUUAUUUUCAUAACCAUAGCGAAACACGAAUAGUUCAUUAUGAUCUAAAGCCAAGCAAUGUUCUUCUAAACACCAAGUUAACUGGACAUGUUUAUUGAAAGUAGAUUAAUAUCAGACUGUUACUUAUAUGAACUCCUCCAUAUAAGUGAAGGGAAUUGGGUUCAAGUUGGUUGGUUUGGUUAAUAGGGUUUGCAAAUGGCCAUCUUUUGUAGAAUUUUAACCCCAACUUUAAAGCCCAUGGGCUAUGACAAAUCAAGGUUUUCUAGCAUUGUUGCUAUCAAUAUUCUCCCAUGCGCAUUCUGAAGUCUAUUCCAAUGGUUUUAGCAGUCGUUCUACUAAUCUUGACAAUGAACGAGUUUUUAUUUAUUUUUUAUUCGAGCAAAUGAUAUUAUCUACACUAAGAGGAAGGGGAUAGUUUUAGUCUUAUAAUGGGCUAACAAUAAUGUGGUUUAAAUUCGUCUUUGGUGAGAAACGAACCCAAGACCUCUCACUUACAAGUGAAGAGAAUACCACUAGACCGUAGUACUAAGUGGCAUGAAAGAGUUUCUAUUAAACCCGCAAAAAUGAAAAUUCUCAACCAUUCAUUAAUGGAUACUAACAAAUUUUUUUUUAGUACAAAGAUAUGUCACGAUAAUGUAACUUAUAGUUGUGUCACUGACCUUUUAACUUAUUGCCCUAUCUUUAACUCACUCCAAUUAAUAUCGUCCUCUAAUUGUUAGUAUCUAAUGAAUCUCAUCAUAAAUUGUUACCCAAUAUAUUAAUUAUCAAAGCAAAUAAACUUGAUUGAGUUAUAAAUUUAUUGUGACCCAAUUGGUAUGGUUAGUAGAAAAAUCAAUUUUGUUCAUAAUUUUCAUGUCUUCCAAGUGAACAUGGGGCUAUAAGUGAAGUUCCAAAGGUUACGGUGGUGUAAUUUGGUCCAUGAAUUGUCUCCUUCAUUUUGCAUGCAUGCGGUAGGUUACUGACUACCAAUAAUUCUCGUUACCAAGCAAAUUAAAUACCAUUAAUUAAGAGCUUAAAAAGUCUUUAAUUAUUACCUCUCUAUUUUGCUUUAGCAAUUAGGAAAUUUUCCCCUUUUGCGUACAAUAUUAUAAGAAUAUUUGUGUUCUCCACACUCAAAUGAUGGUGAUGCUUACUACCUUAUUUAUCACUGUUAUAUGAGUUUAGUACCUUGGAUAGACACAAAUCUCAAAAUUUAAACAAAUACAACGGUAACAAAUAAGGUGGUAAGCAUUACCACCACUUGAGAGUGAUGACUAAAAAUCUCCCCAAUAAUAUAAGUAGUUAAGUUUGUUGGUGUGGUAGUUGGUCUUUAGCAAGCUUCUUAUAGAAAAGAAGAAGCAUUUAUUUGAAAAGAUUCAGACUCCUUUUGGAUAUAGAUAAACAAUGGCUUGUUAAAAACCAAAAUGAUAAGGCAUUCAACAUUCAACAUUCACCUAAAAAAAAUGAUAUACAUGAUAUCCAUCAAUGUUUUGGUAACAAAUUCCCAAAUUGCUCUAUCUACCAAACAUUUGCAGAUCAAUAGUUACAGAAGGUCACUUUUAUGAUAUUCAACCCAAUACCCACAUUAUUGGCAAAACAAACAUUGUAUAGAUCUUUUGAGUACCCGAGCCAAUGACAAUAACAUUGACGGCAACUACAAAAAAUUUACAUUAUAUAAAGAGGCAAUCUCAGAAUCAAAAUUGUCAAAAUCCAUAUUUGAUGGCAUUUUUUCAUCAGUCAAUCAAUACACACAUAACACAUAAUCACAAACUCGAUAAAAAUUCAAACCCAUAAAUCCAUAAUUAGCAAUGUUUUUUCUUAACCCCCAAAAACAAUCCAAAUCUUAGUGGUUACAUUCCUUAGUCAAGCACUCAACCACUUGGGCACAUCGACUACAACUUGGGAAUGUUACGCAAAUCUUAGGCAGCUUGAAUCAUUAAAUUUGAGUUGGAAGAAGCUCUGUUACCUGCUCUGCUAGUUGAGGAGUGUCACCAAAUUCGGCACUAUCAUCAGCAUCAACACAUUUCACAAACUCCCACUUCCAAAACAUUUCACAAAAUCAAAAAUCAAAUGAGUUUAUGUAGCAGAAAAGAUUGACGGAAAAAUAGACUAGGAAAAGCAAUUAAUAUUAAAUAGAGGAUAAAUGAUGUUGUCCAGUAAAUAAGACAGUUGUAUAUAUUUCUCGACCAUGAGAAAACAUCAAAUUAAUAGAGGCAUUAAUCCUAAGUUUGCCAUUCAUUGUUGUCGGUCUAAACUUGAUGACAUAUUGUAAAGUCCUCGUACAUACAGAUUCAUGAAAUAUUAAUUUAUUUCCAUGAGUUAUUUGAUUUUGCAAAUUCAAAAUAAUUGAAGAAUACUGAGAAUUACUAAACAUCCAAAGAUAGCAUUUGUGAAUUACUAUCCCAUUUGUGAAUUACUGUCCUUCUAAGCAUCCAAAGAUAGCAUACCCAAAAUACCAAAUUCAACUCCAAUAUAAUAAAAAAUUAAAAAACAAAUUAACCAAAUUGGGAUAGUUAGAUCAAAUAAAGAUUUACGUCAACCAAUUACACAAAAUAAUUCAUGCAAAGUAGGCUCCUAAGAAAAUAUACCACUAUGGAGGUGGAGGAGGCCCAGGCUCAAACAGUGGAGGACGGUAGCAUUUAAAUAUACCGCAGCAGCAUGGAAUCCACAAACUGCAUAAUCAAAACCAAAAUUUUAAAAUUUAUAUUUAUAUUUAAAUUUGAAAGAAAAAUGCAGUAGAAUUGUAUAAUGAGAAAUUCUCCAAUGUGGAUAAAUUAAUCUUGCAGGAUGCGAUCAGUUGUAUUGGGCUGGCAACCGGCUUAUGCUCAAAUCCAACUAAAUUUAUCAUACAGCCUUCCAACUACAAUUCAAGGGAAGAAGUUCCAAGUCCAUGCAUAAUGUUUGCUCAACUAAAAUAAAUUGCUUUUCAUGAUUAAAAUAGCCAACCAACCAACACUCAUUUGAUAAAAUUGAACAUUUGGAGUUAUAUAUCCACAUAUUCCACAUAUUUAAGAUCGAACGAACCUUCUCAUGAAGACCACCCAAGGGUCCAUUAGUGAGUUGUGUGACCAGAGGAUUUACUGCACUUGAGUUUCCUCGUGCAGCUGCAAGAGCUAUGAGCUUACGUUGACUGUCAAUCACUUCUCCGCUUAAGGUUUGCGUCACCGAUGAUGCAGAAUUAAUAGCUUCCUGCAAAGAAGUGCAAUAAGAAACCUUAAUUUGUUAAAAUGUGAGUAACUACAGUGUUCUCAAUUGAUUAAAACAUCAUCCGAUGGUGUUUUCUAGGCUUUUUUUUUCCUUCCUUUCGCAGGCCAUUAUUUCAUUAGCCAUCUGAAGAAUUGCAAUUGAUAGAAUCGGUGUUCUUUGAAAUAAUCAUAACACUUCACAACACAAUGGCAACAAUUUAUACAAAUUCUAACAACAAAUUGUCAAAAACAAUGAGAACAAUUACCAGAAAUUUCAAAUCUUUUGGGGGUUCAGAGUAAUUACCAAAGAGAUGAAAGCUAAAAUCAACAUUAGUCCAAUUUUUUCAAAAUAAGAACAGCUCCGAUCUGAGAAAUACAAUGCAAUUUCUGAAGGAAAAAAAAAAGCAAGAAAACCCUAAAAUCCCUAAGAACCCUAAUUUAUAAACCCUAAACAAACGCAAAAGGAGAGGAGACUCAAAUAAAGGGAAAAUCGAGAAAUUCAACAUACUAUCGGAGCGAGGACGCUUUCUGACGACCAAAUUCAUCGACACCGGAGGCGGUUGUCGACCAUCGCUGCACCUUCAUUUCGCCUCCGCCAUGUUUGAGGCUUUCGACCGUCACUACUUGGUUUGUGUGCUUCAUGUCGAGAGAUAUGGGGAGCCGAGAGGUUGUGGGUUUUCUAGUAGAGAAGGACAGAAACAGGAAGAGUGAGAGAUGAGAGAGCGCUCGCGUAGGAGAGAAAGAGGAAGAGUGAGAGAUGAGACCAGAGCGCACGCGUCUAACCCAUCGCAAUCCGUUAUAAACUUACCCUAUCAACUUUUGAGAAAUACCCUCCCAACCCAUCCCCAUUUGGCUGACAUUGUUGUAAAUAGCGUCAAAUUGAGUGGCAAAGAUUUGAAAUUACACCCGCUCAUUGCUGCAAGAAUCAGUUGUUUCAGGCGUAAUCGGAUGAAUAAAACACAUUUAAGUUAAAUUUAACACAAUUAUGAACAAACAGAGGGAUACAUGAGUGAAUGAAGUCGAUAAGAUAAGCAGUUUUGCUUUUAUAUACAUUCAAGUGAGCUAGCAUAUAAACAUAUUGUACAACGAGUGGGAAGAAACUGAACGUCUUUGAUUACAAAGAUAUGGUUUCCAAAAAAGUUUUUUUUUCUUAAGAAAUAGAAGAAACAUGUAGUUCACACAUAAUAUGUGUCUUGCAGUGUAGACAGUCAUUGAACAGGUAAUAUCAAGAAAAGAAAUUAAAAUAUUAGGCAUAUGAGUGCAAGCUUACAAAUACGUUGUUUUUGUAUAAUUUCUUCUCCCUUCAAUGAUAGUUUGUUUCUUAUGCAGAAAAAUAAAAUGACCAGGUCAAUGAUACUCACAUGUGCAAAAUGCUAAUUCUAAGGUCUAAAGCUAACUGAGUUUUUAAGUGUAAAAUCCCUAAUUUCACUGCAUUUGGAUUGAUCACAGUUCGUGACUUGUUAAACUUGAUAUCCCCUUGUACAUUUUGUGAACUUGACAACUUAAAGAAGUGCUCAUAAAAGCAAAUUACACAAUAUCUACUGAAAAACUUAGAGAAGAGACUUAACUAAUCAACAAACAGGUGCCUCACACUUAAAUAUUAAAGACCAAAGAGAGAAAACCAAGCCGAACUCUUCAAAAUUCGUUGGCACACAUGCUUCAUUAGCUCAAUUGAAUGUAUAAUGCCUACUUAGAUACAACAAUUCGAACAAUAGCUCAUAAACAGUGCUGAAAUUCCAUUAGCACUAAUCACACACUGCAGGAACAUAGAUCCUAGCAAAGCUACACCAAUUAAAUGACAACGACUAAAAACCACAAACAGGAAAAAUAGAAAAACAGAGUUAUUAGACAGCAUGAUUCAGAUAUAAUUUUAUUAGGGUUGGUAAAAGAACAACCCAUCCAGCACUUCGAACACACCGUGGGAUUUAAAAGUAGGUCUUUCUUGAUUAUAAGCUCAUAUGUCUUGCACCUAAUUUUCAAACACUCAAGCGUCAGUGUCUUAAUACUUCUAACCCACAGUUCAAAACAGAAAGAACCUCAUUUGAUGAAAAUGCCAAAAUUUUCUAAGAAUGGAGUCCAAAAAUUUAUUUUUAAGCAUCCAAAAAGCCAUUAAACUAAAAAUAGUUAGUUCUUCGUACCUUUGUAUGAAGAUAUCACAGGAAAACAUUAGCCUUCCUACAUGCUAUGUUGGAAUUUCAGGGGUUAGAUUAGAGCCACACUUGAGUUCGACAUUGAAAGUGAGGCCUCGCUGGUGUGUUUCCACACCACAUGCUCUGCAAAAGAGAUACAAUCUCAGAAUCAUAAACACAUUGAUAAGAAAUAUACACACCAUAUAUAUAGCAAGAGAAACUUAAGAAACGAAAAGUUCAAUCAAAGUGAGUGAAGUGAACCUUUCUUCUUUUUUUAACCCAAAGCAUUGAAAGUAGCGCAAACCAUUCUUUUGUCCUCUUUCUCCCCUCUUCCCGUGUCCCUCACUCUUUUUCAUCCUUUGAAACAAUAACUGAUAAGGAAAAAUUAAAAAUUACUAUGCAAUCUUGAUUCUGCUAACAUUCCAAAAUUAUUAUCAGUAAGUCUCCAUAUAACCUUUUUGAUUCGCUUCUUUUUCCUCCUAUUUCCCAACCAACAACACAUUUCUUAUCAUCUUUCUUACUAACAUAUGGGCACACACAAAAUAUGUGAGAAAAGUUUUUAUUUUUGUUUUUGAAAUAGAAUGAGAGAGGAAGAGAGUGCUAGAGAAUGUGAAAGUGGGAAGGUUUUUUUUUAUUUUUUAAUUAAAGAUAUGUUAGGAUUACAUGUAAGUGAGACUUUGAAAAAAAAAAACAAAAUUUGAUUGUGUAAAAUUACAUUUCUUAUGCAUGUUCUGUUUUAAUUAGAGGGUUAAACUGGUAAUUUCAUAAGAUUUUGAUUGACAAUGAGUUUCAUUAAUUAGUAGAGAUUCAUAUAUAUGACAAUAAACAAAAAAAAAACAAUAUGCAAAAGAUACAAAAAGUAACAAUAGCACCUUCAUAUUUACCAUUUACACUUGAAGUAAAAUCUCGAAAUAUUUCAGAAAUAUUGUUGAUGCACAAAAUCAGCGAUGACUUUGGUACAACAGAAAGUGUCAAGUUUGUGACCUUCGCUAGAUUGCUCCAGUCACUAGUGUGGAUAAGUAUGUAAAUGGAUAAAGAGAGGGAAGCAAACACAAGAUGUAUGUGGUUCACCCAAAUUGGCUACGUCUACAGAGUAGAGGAGUUCUCAUUAAUUGUGAAGGGUUUACACAAGUACAUAGGUUCAAGCUCUCCUUUAGUGAGUACUAGUGAAUGAUUUAGUACAAAUGAAAUUAGGAAAUAUUGUGGGAGAAUGAUCUCCUUUUAUAGAAGAGAGUUUCUAGCUUUGUUUUGACAUUGACAUGUGUCGUGUUAUGAUUGACUUCUGAUGUUGACACGUGUCGCAUUAUGAUUGGCUUCUGAUGUCGACACGUGUCGCGCUGUGAUUGGCCUCCUGGUUGGAGGGAAACUCUUCUGGGUCAUUGACAAUAUAACGUUGAUCGGUGCUCGGUAGUUUCGAGAUUGAUCAAGUAUGGUACAAACAAAUAUCAUAUGAAAUGCACAAUGUUACAAAUGAAAUUGAUUAAUUAGCACACAAAAAAAAUUGAUAGUGGAGAAUUGGAAAUAACUAUAGGUCGUACCCAGUGCACAAGGCUCCCGCUUUACGCAGGAUCUGGGAGAGGUGAAUAUCGGCUAGCCUUACCCCCAUUUAUGGAGAGGCUGCUCCCAAGUCUCGAACCCGAGACCUACCGCUCAUGGGCGAAGGCACUUGCCAUCGCACCAAGUGCGACCUCUAGAAUUGGAAAUAACUAUAAAAAAUUAAAAAUAUCAAUAGACCAGGAGAAAACUACUUUAAACAAAAUGAAAACUCAGAAUUUAGGAUAAAAAGAAGGAAAGAAAUCAAACAGAAAAGAAGACAAAAGAGAAGAAAAAAAUUAAAGCAAAAUACCUGAAGCUCGGUGAGAUUCAAGCUUCGAACUGAAAAAUGAAACAUUCGGCGGUCAACACCCAAUCACUAAUUAACUAAGUGGUGACCUGCUGACCAUGAACACGUGAAUAAAAUUGUAGAGGUUAAUUAUACGGAAUCUUACCGCAAAAAAAAUAAAAAAUAAAAAACUAAUUGAAAUUAGGGGUGGGUUCAAAAACGAAAACCGAAACCGAACCGAACCGAAAUCGAAAAAACCGAAUCAAAUUAAAAAAAUCGAACCGAACCGAAUUAAUUAAAUUAAUAUAUUUUUUUUAUAUUUAAUUAUUUGUUUUGGGUAUUAUUUUUUAAACCCAAUUUGUAAGCCCAAUGUGUUGCCCAAAAUCAGAAAUUCCAAAUGCAUCGCUACUUUUCCAUUAACUACAAGGAAGAAGUCGUAUAAAAAAGCAAGACCUAAAAUAGUGAUAACAAAAUGGUGCUAACUCCUGACACAGUACUGUUAGUUUCUUAUUCUUGUUUAAUAUGGCUUCUUGCUUCAAGUAUUUGUAUGCUUAUUCAAUACUUCAUUGCUUAUUGUUAUAUGCAGUGAUCAGGUAUUGGUUUUGAUAAAGUGUUUUCCCAUUUGAUAUUACUUCUUCCGACUAAAUAGUAAAUUACAUUACUAAAUGACCGAUAAUACAUACAAAGAGAGCAUAAUCGAUAUAUGACCCUCAUUGGUUAGUAUGAUAAUGCUCUCAUUGUACGUACUAUCGUGAUAAAAUAAUCAGCACAUGUUCACCAACAUACACCAGCUCUUUAUAUUAUUCAUGGUUAAGAGUUGAGGUGUGAAGAAAAUGGUAGAAAAUUUUACUUUUCUAAAAAGAAAUCUAUUUACAAUUAAACUUUAAACACAAAAUAUUAAAAAAAACCUUUAUGUUAUAAUUCUAGUUGAACUUUAAAUAUUUAUUUUCAUUUUCUUUUAUUCUAGUUGGAAUAUUUAUGUUAUGAUUAUGUUGGAGAUGUUAAAAUUUAAGACUUCAAUUUUUUUCAUUUUUUGAAAAAAAAAACACCGAAACCGAACUGGAAAAAACUGAAAAAAAAAAUGAACUGAACCGAAAUUUCGGUGAUUUCGGUUUUGGAAAAAAACCAAACCGAUUUGACCCGAACCCAGCCCUAAUUGAAAUUAUGUGUUGCACACAGUGAUAUCGAAGAAGAAUAAUUUCUAUUUAACUGAAAUUAAAUCCGAAUAAAUGAUUCAUAAAAUUACAGAUUUUCAAUCAAAUGCGGAAUAUACACAACAAUUUUAUUUCUGAUUUGAAUAUAACCAACUAAAUCCCAAGUUGUAUCAGUAUCAAUGGAUCCAACAUGGUGACCAUCUGCCCCUCAAGUAUUCAUAUCUGCAAACCCCCGUCUAAAGAAAAAUUCAUCCAGAAAUUAAUCACUGAGUAUGCAAGGUUGGCAUGCAUAUUCACGUUUUAUCGUGGCCAUGAUGAUAGGAAUUAAAAAAACACGAAAAUAGGAAUGAUGUACCUUUACUUAGAUUUCAGGGUUCUAAAACCUGUUGCUGAGAUUUGAGAAACAUAGGAAAUGUGUUUCAUGAUUUCAAUUUAGAUUUGCAUAAGAGUUCAGAAACACAUACAUCCCUUCUUUUCAUUCCGCGCCUAGGCUUGCAACACCAAAAUAGCACCAGAUCUUUGCAAUGUGCAGGGAAUAUACUGAAAAAACUUAAACCACAAUCAAUCAUCAUCUAUCUAAACAAAAUCAGAACCCAAACCCCUAAAUAUAUAAUAAUAAUAAUGAUUCUAGUAGAAAUUCCAAUCCAUUACAACAAAACACAGAGCUAAAACAACAAAACACAGAAUACCAGGUAUUGCUGGAUGUAGAUAUCCAAAACAGUGGCACCCAUCUAUUGAUCUAAUUACGUAUCCAUUCCCUAUCCAUGGCAGACAAAGUUUGUACUCCCUGUUUACAUGUUAUAAAACAUUUACUAGACCAGCAAUCAAAAUUAACAACCCUAAUUGUUGUAUACGCUAAGCUCUCCAACUGAAAAUGUUUAAUUAAAUUUUCCAACUUAAAACCCUAAAUUAAAUCCUACAAUUUGAAAUAGCAGAAACAAAAUUAGAGAGAAGGAAGAAAUCAAUGACCUUCGAGUUGUUGAAAGCUCAGAUAGGUGUUUCUUUUCAUCCAGCCCUAAAAUUAACCCAGCCUGUGUAUAGAAAAAUUGAACAAAUUUAGACAUUUAUAUGUAUGUAUAUUCCAGUAAAAAGAAUGAAAUGCAUUGAACCCUAAAUUGCAAAACUACAUCAAACUGAUUAAAGAAAAGAAACAGAGAGGGAGUGGGACAGAGAGAAAACCCUAAAAACAGAACCCUUUGGCAACCUAAUACAAAAUCAAGCCAACAAAUUCCAUUCCAAUUUUGACAAAACAAAUCGAAAAAGAAUAAUGAAAACCUGAAUGAAUUACGGAGGAACCGAUGGGUUUAUGCAUCAGCAAUGUGAUAAAACCCAGAAACACAAAACCUAAUAUGUAACAGCUACAAAAACCCAAAUAAAUAAAUAAAACACUCAAAUUUCAAACGAAGAUGUCAUAGAUGGAGGAAGAGAGAAGCGAUAGAGGGGGAGAGAUACUAACUCAACCCCACCAUCUCUCUGCAGCCAACACACUGAUUCCCUCAACCCUACCCUCAAAUCUUGUACCCAAUCAACUCUCUUUCUGUCCCCCUAAUCGUGCACCCGCCGUCACCUUCUCUCUGCAACCAACCCCCUCUCCUCUCUUCCCCAUAUCACACCCCCACCUGUGAGGGCACUGACAGCAGACUACCUCCCUAGAAACCGGCCCUAAAAACCCAUACCCAUACCUCCCUUACUCGUUCCCUUUAACCCUCGCAUAAAAUCCUCCCAUCUAUCUGUCUUUGCAAAUCGCAGAAAACAAACCCUAAACCAAAUCCCUAAAAUCCCACCUCAAUCCUCCCACACUUCUCUUGGACACUCCCUAUCUCUCUCUGCAAUUCGUAAAACAAAUCUCCUAAAUCCUAUCUCGGGCACCCGCAUCUCUCUACAAAUCACACAAACAAAACCCCAAACCUAAUCCUUGAAAUCCUACCCAAACCUAAUCCCUGAAACCCUUUCUCUUGGACAUCCCAUACCACAGAAAAUGUAUCUGAACUUUAGUUUAUAAAAUCGCAGGCCGCCUUCUCUCUUCCUACCUUUUAACAAUUCACCAGUAAGAUUAUCUCAAUAAAAACUUAUAUUAGCAAAUCCAGUGACGAAUGAUGUCAAACUGAAGCCGUAAUGAAAGCAUAUUUUGAGAAAGAAUGAAAAGCCGUCUUUCUACAACUUGAAACCAAAAUUUAAGUGAAUGGCCUUGUAACUAAGGUUAUUGAACAUGAUUAACUAUUCGCAACCCUCAACCUUGUCCCAUCUUUCUGUCCCUGCAAAUUGCAGAAAACAAACCCUAAACCAAAUCCCUAAAAUCCCGCCUAAAUCCUCCCACACUUCUCUUGGACACUCCCUAUCUCUCUCUGCAAUUCGUAAAACAAAUCUCCUAAAUCCUAUCUCAGACACCCCCAUCUCUCUACAAAUCGCACAAACAAAACCCCAAACCUAAUCCUUGAAAUCCCACCCAAACCUAAUCCCUGAAACCCUUUCUCUCGGACAUCCCACACCAUAGAAAAUGCAUCUGAACUUUAGUUUAGAAAAUCGCAGGCCGCCUUCUCUCUUCCUACCUUUUAACAAUUCACCAGUAAGAUUAUCUCAAUAAAAACUUAUAUUAGCAAGUCCAGUGACGAAUGAUGUGAAACUAAAGCUGUAAUGAAAGCUUAUUUUGAGAGAGAAUGAAAAGCCAUCUUUCUACAGCUUGAAACCAAAAUUUAAGUGAAUGGCCCUGUAACUAAGGUUAUUGAACAUGAUUAACUAUCCGCAAUAUGACAACCAUCUGCAACCCUCAACCUUGUAACCUGGAUCAAGCUGGUUUCACACAUACCAAUAGAAAACCAAAAUAUCAAUGUUUGGGGAAGUUACCUUAUUUGAAAUACCACUAAAAAACAGAGUACACUUUUAGGCAAAUAUUGUUUAAACACGCAAACAUAAUUCAUGAUAUGUGCCAAAAAGAAAAUACCUCUCGAUUAGAUUUCUUUUGUUCAUGAACUUUCUCCCUGACAAACUCCUGAGAUAGAACCAAAAAAGAAAAUAAGUCACAACUGAUGCAAGUAGAGGGGAAUGAGGCAGAGAAAAGUAUGAAUUUAUGAGUACACCACUCCUGUUUUAGGUUCCCAACUUAUAAGGAUGCUAACUUCAUCAUAUAGGACUAUUGUUAAACUCAUUUCUUUCCGAAAUUAAAUUAAGAAAAAAGUUCGACACUGGCAUGCCACAACACAAUGUUACAUAAAGUAAUCUUACCAUCACAACCAAAUUGACACAAAACUUCUAACAGUCAUUUUGAAAGUGAAAAUCAAGCAAAUACUCAUUUUCCGAAAAAGAAAAAACCCAACAAAAAUAAACAAAAAGUAGAAGUACCUAAGUUCCCAAUAGUCCAAUCCAUCAGGAAAAUACAAACUUGCACAUGUUUGAGUAAAAGGACCAUAAGAAAGAAGCAGGGGAUGCAAAAUUUUGAGAAUGGGUCUAAUAAUACUCAUCAAGUACAGAUAAUCAAAGUUAAAAGGAGGUAAUAAAGGUAUUGAAAAAAGAAGAAUAUAUUCUACAAGUGAAUGAAACAAAAUAUGGUGAAACUAGAAUGGAAACACUUCAGGAGGCCAGAGGAAGAGGGACAAUACUAUAGCAAAUAAAUUGAUAAUGCUUGUGCUCUCCUCUGUUCUUUCCCAAGUUGAUCCUACAAACAAAAGCACAGACAAAACUUAAAAAACGAUGCCAAUCAAUGAAAGCUAUAUUAUACCCAUCCUGAAUCUUUUAUAAAACAAGGCACCAAGAAAAUUUCAACAGCAAAUAUUUCAUACGAUAAACAAAACGAUGAAAUAAAUUUCAACAUCGGCUUGUUUCAGACAUUAACAUCUUACUUUGAAAUUUCUCCCAUGGUUCGUUGACAGUCAUUGUAGAGUAAACAUUAGGUGGACAACUCUUUGACUACGUCAUUAGACAACUACAAAAGCUUACUUUCCAUAAGCUUGUAACUUACAAAUUCCAAACUACAUGUAUCAUUUGUGUGCCCUCAGCUUUCAUUCUGUAAUCACAUUUACGAUUGAAACAUUAACCAAAUCCAACAACAACAACAACAAAGCCUUUUCCCACUAAGUGGGGUCGGCUAUAUGAAUCCUAGAACGCCAUUGCGCUCGGUUUUGUGUCAUGUCCUCCGUUAGAUCCAAGUACUCAAGUCUUUUCUUAGGGUCUCUUCCAAAGUUUUCCUAGGUCUUCCUCUACCCCUUCGGCCCUGAACCUCUGUCCCGUAGUCACAUUUUCGAACCGGAGCGUCAGUAGGCCUUCUUUGCACAUGUCCAAACCACCGGAACCGAUUUUCUCUCAUAUUUCCUUCAAUUUUGGCUACUCCUACUUUACCUCGGAUAUCCUCAUUCCCAAUCUUAUCCUUUCUCGUGUGCCCAUACAUCCCACGAAGCAUCCUCAUCUCUGCUACACCCAAUUUGUGUACGUGUUGAUGCUUCACCGCCCAACAUUCUGUGCCAUACAACAUCGCUGGCCUUAUUGCCGUCCUAUAAAAUUUUCCCUUGAGCUUCAGUGGCCUACGACGGUCACACAACACGCCGGAUGCACUCUUACACUUCAUCCAUCCAGCUUGUAUUCUAUGGUUGAGAUCUCCAUCUAAUUCUCCGUUCUCUUGCAAGAUAGAUCCUAGGUAGCGAAAACGGUCACUUUUUGUGAUCUUCGCUAGAUUGCUCCGGUCAUUAGUGUGGAUAAGUAUAUAAAUGGAUAGAGAUAGGAAAGCAAACACAAGAUGUACGUGGUUCACCCAGAUUGGCUACGUCCACGGAAUAGAGGAGUUCUCAUUAAUUGUGAAGGGUUUACACAAGUACAUAGGUUCAAGCUCUCCUUUAGUGAGUACAAGUGAAUGAUUUAGUACAAAUGACAUUAGGAAAUAUUGUGGGAGAAUGAUCUCGUAAUCACGAAACUUCUAAGUACCGGAGUGUGGUAUCGUCUUGACUUGCCUUAUCUGUCUCAUAGGUAGAUGUGGCAUCUUCUCUGGAAGUACUCUUCCUCCAUCCAGGGGUGGUAUCUUUAACUGGUGGAGAUGCACAAGGUAAUGUAUCAAUUUCACUUGAAGCUUACUUGUAGUUUCAGGCUUGGUCAAGCGCGAUACAAACCAUGUAGUAGGAGUCCCCCAAGUCGCCGAGCUAGGGGAUCUGCUGAAAGAGGUGACAGACAAGGUAAGCAAUCAGAGCUCCGGCUGAUUGUUCACAUUCUCCCUAUCUUGCAGGCAGCAUGAAGGAUAAAGAGAAGAAAAAUGAGAAGAGAUGAUAUGGGAUACUUUUGCUUUUGAAGAAGUAACUUUCCACAGGCUUAUUCUUGAACUGGGCUGGAGGGUUUUCUGGUUUCCUCCAGAGUAUAAGGCCGACUGAAGAAUUUGAGGGUCAAAACAAGUCCAUCAAAUCUAGAGUACGUUCGACCCUGCUGAUAUGGGAUACUUUUGCUUUUGACAGAGUAAGUGGAUGUAUCGGCACGUGUGCUGUUACGCUUGUCUCCACAUGCUUCCUUGUAUCCUUCUCACUUGCCCUAUCUGUUCCUCAGGCAGAUGCGGUAUCUUCCCUGGAAGCAUAAGAUGUUGAAGAUGAGUACUCGAGAGCAAUGCCAGGUAAGUAAUCAGGUAAGGGGUUCCAGGCAGUCAGUUCCUGGCUGGAAGCUUGAUUCCAAGUGCUGACUGAUUGCUCUCUUUCUCCUUGUCUUGCAGGUAAGAACAAGGCCAAAGGAAAAGACAGGGAAAAAGCAUGAUAUGGGAUACUCUCUUGCUUUUAACCCUGAUGAUAUGAGAUAUUCUUGCUCUAGUAUAGCUUGUUUGCAGAGAGGUAUUAUCGGGGGGAAAGAAAGCUGAAUAUUUCGAAAGGCUUCGUUGGGAGUGCCCUCUCAGAUAUGAGGAAGGGUUGAGCAUUUUUGCAGGUCUGCCUGUCCGUUGGGGAUGGAGGUCGACAUAUAUAUAGGAGUCUCCCUAACAAUCAAGUAGUAAUGCUAUUCCUUUACCCUGCUUGGUCAUAGCACGGUAGUGGGAGCUGCCAGCUUCACAUGUUUUAACUCUGUCAGAGCACUUUGAAAAAGUGGUCUGUGGUAUCUGGAAAGCUGAUGUUGCGUGUGAAGAUUACAGACAAGCUUUAUCCAAGGAGAUCCGGCUCUUGAAGUUGGGAAAGUGGUGCCUCUUCGGAUUUUCGAACAAGCAAUCCUUGUCGGGGAUCUGGCUCUCGAGAGAUUCGGAGAACGAUGCCUCUUCGAUUUUUUGAGAAAGCAAUCCUGCUGGGGGUCUGGCUCUCGAGAUUCGGAGAGCGGUGUGUCUCUUCGAUUUUUGAGAAAAGUAAUCAUGUUGGGAGUCUGGCUCUCGAGAUUCGGAGGGCGGUGCCUCUUCGAUUUUGGAGCAAGCAAUCUUGUUGGGAGUGUUUUCUCGAAUGUGAGUAAAGGUUGGGCAUGUUUGCUAGUCUACCUUGCCACGAAGCACAGAGGUUGACACACAGGGACUUUCCAAUUAUCCAGCAAUGGUACUGUUCCUUUACCCUCUCUUCGAUUUUUGAGAAAGUAAAUCAUGUUGGGAGUCUGGCUCUCGAGAUUCGGAGGACGGUGCCUCUUCGAUUUUGGAGCAAGCAAUCUUGUUGGGAGUGUUUUCUCGAAUGUGAGUAAAGGUUGGGCAUGUUUGCUAGUCUACCUUGCCACGAAGCACAGAGGUUGACACACAGGGACUUUCCAAUUAUCCAGCAGUGGUACUGUUCCUUUACCCUUGUGGGUAAUAAUAUGGUAGCUAGACCUUCAAAAUUUAUGUGUCUAAACUUUGUUAGUGUUGUUUCUUUGCUAUUCUUUUACCCUUCUUGGUCAGAGCGAUGUAGUGGGAGCUGCAAGCUUCACGUGUCUCAACUUUGGUCAGAGAACUUUGGCAAAGUUAUCUGUGGUACCCAUGAGCUACUGUUGCGUGUGGGAAGUGGGUGAUUGAACAGUAACGAUUCAUGUGCUUUCUACUUCACCAGAAAUCUUCGACAGAAUGCCCAUAAUUUCCGCAAAGCUGAGUGUGCGUGUGACAGGUGCUGACAAGGCUGGAAAAGUAGGUGCCUCUUCGAUUUCUGAGAUCGGCCCUCGUGGUCUCUGAGCAGCCCAGCUUUUGAGAAAGCAAGCGCCUCUUCGAUUUCUGAGAUCGGCCUUCGUGGUCUUUGAGCAGCCCAAGCUUUUGAGAAAGCAAACGCCUCUUCGAUUUCUGAGAUCGACCCUCGUGGUCUCUGAGCAGCCCAGCUUUUGAGAAAGCAAACGCCUCUUCGAUUUCUGAGCAGGCGCCUCUUCGAUUUCUGAAGCUUCGUCGAGUGCAGAUUUUUUAUAGGGGCUGGACAUUAAGUUCCAAAGCACACUUGAAUCUCCACCAGUAGAAGCUCCAUUCUUGCACUUCUAAGAUCUUGAUUUGUCCGACCUCUUCUCUCUUCAACACCUUUGAAAAUGUCUGGCCCCUCCGACCGUCGUUUUGACUUGAACCUUGUUGAAGAGGCAGCCCCGCCUUCUCCAGACAACAUAUGGCGCCCAUCCUUCGUCUCCCCUACUGGUCCUCUUACCGUUGGGGAUUCCGUGAUGAAGAAUGAUAUGACCGCUGCGGUGGUGGCCAGGAACCUUCUCACUCCCAAAGAUAACAGACUACUUUCCAAACGGUCUGAUGAGUUGGCUGUUAAGGAUUCUCUGGCUCUCAGUGUUCAGUGUGCAGGUUCUGUGUCUAAUAUGGCCCAACGCCUAUUUGCUCGAACCCGCCAAGUUGAAUCAUUGGCGGCUGAAGUGAUGAGUCUCAAACAGGAGAUUAGAGGGCUCAAGCAUGAGAAUAAACAGUUGCACCGGCUCGCACAUGACUAUGCUACAAACAUGAAGAGGAAGCUUGACCAGAUGAAGGAAUCUGAUGGUCAGGUUUUACUUGAUCAUCAGAGAUUUGUGGGUUUGUUCCAAAGGCAUUUAUUGCCUUCGUCUUCUGGGGCUGUACCGCGUAAUGAAGCUCCAAAUGAUGAUCAACCUCUGAUGCCUCCUCCUUCUAGGGUUCUGUCCAGUACUGAGGCUCCGAAUGAUCCCCCUCCGGUGCCUUCUCUUUCUGGGGCUCUACCGACUGCUGAGACUUCUCCUAAGCAACCUUUGUG